rnacentral:rRNA from 1 species
CUAAUAAUGCAGUCGAGCGGACAGAUGGGAGCUUGCUCCCUGAUGUUAGCGGCGGACGGGUGAGUAACACGUGGGUAACCUGCCUGUAAGACUGGGAUAACUCCGGGAAACCGGGGCUAAUACCGGAUGGUUGUUUGAACCGCAUGGUUCAAACAUAAAAGGUGGCUUCGGCUACCACUUACAGAUGGACCCGCGGCGCAUUAGCUAGUUGGUGAGGUAACGGCUCACCAAGGCAACGAUGCGUAGCCGACCUGAGAGGGUGAUCGGCCACACUGGGACUGAGACACGGCCCAGACUCCUACGGGAGGCAGCAGUAGGGAAUCUUCCGCAAUGGACGAAAGUCUGACGGAGCAACGCCGCGUGAGUGAUGAAGGUUUUCGGAUCGUAAAGCUCUGUUGUUAGGGAAGAACAAGUACCGUUCGAAUAGGGCGGUACCUUGACGGUACCUAACCAGAAAGCCACGGCUAACUACGUGCCAGCAGCCGCGGUAAUACGUAGGUGGCAAGCGUUGUCCGGAAUUAUUGGGCGUAAAGGGCUCGCAGGCGGUUUCUUAAGUCUGAUGUGAAAGCCCCCGGCUCAACCGGGGAGGGUCAUUGGAAACUGGGGAACUUGAGUGCAGAAGAGGAGAGUGGAAUUCCACGUGUAGCGGUGAAAUGCGUAGAGAUGUGGAGGAACACCAGUGGCGAAGGCGACUCUCUGGUCUGUAACUGACGCUGAGGAGCGAAAGCGUGGGGAGCGAACAGGAUUAGAUACC